GCGCGGGUGGCGAAAUUGGCAGACGCACCAGGUUUAGGUCCUGACGGUGGCGACACCGUGGGGGUUCGAGUCCCCCCCCGCGCACCA
rnacentral:tRNA from 1 species